UACGGGGGGGGCGAGCGUUGUUCGGAAUUACUGGGCGUAAAGGGUUCGUAGGUGGCUCGCUAAGUCAGACGUGAAAUCCCUCAGCUUAACUGGGGAACUGCGUCUGAGACUGGCAAGCUCGAGUGCAGGAGAGGAACGCGGAAUUCCAGGUGUAGCGGUGAAAUGCGUAGAUAUCUGGAGGAACACCGGUGGCGAAGGCGGCGUUCUGGACUGCAACUGACACUGAGGAACGAAAGCCAGGGGAGCAAACGGGAUUAGAUACCCCGGUAGUCCUGGCCCUAAACGAUGAAUGCUUGGUGUGGCGGGUAUCGAUCCCUGCCGUGCCGGAGUUAACGCGUUAAGCAUUCCGCCUGGGGAGUACGGUCGCAAGGCUGAAACUCAAAG
rnacentral:rRNA from 1 species